GACGAACGCUGGCGGCGUGCCUAAUACAUGCAAGUUGAGCGCUGAAGGUUGGUACUUGUACCAACUGGAUGAGCAGCGAACGGGUGAGUAACGCGUGGGGAAUCUGCCUUUGAGCGGGGGACAACAUUUGGAAACGAAUGCUAAUACCGCAUAAAAACUUUAAACACAAGUUUUAAGUUUGAAAGAUGCAAUUGCAUCACUCAAAGAUGAUCCCGCGUUGUAUUAGCUAGUUGGUGAGGUAAAGGCUCACCAAGGCGAGGAUACAUAGCCGACCUGAGAGGGUGAUCGGCCACAUUGGGACUGAGACACGGCCCAAACUCCUACGGGAGGCAGCAGUAGGGAAUCUUCGGCAAUGGACGAAAGUCUGACCGAGCAACGCCGCGUGAGUGAAGAAGGGUUUCGGAUCGUAAAACUCUGUUGGUAGAGAAGAACGUUGGUGAGAGUGGAAAGCUCAUCAAGUGACGGUAACUACCCAGAAAGGGACGGCUAACUACGUG
rnacentral:rRNA from 1 species